GAGGCGUGUGUAUUGGAGGGGUGUGUCUACUCUGCAGUACGGUGGUAGGCUGGAAAGCGAUGCCGCGGCAUGGCGAUCUUGCCAUACAUUUGCAAUGCAUGAGAGAUGGCCGAGUAUGCUAUAAAUAGACGAUUAAACAACUCCGAUACACGAUCACAGUGGGCAAACAUUGCUGAUAUUUCGUGCUCUUCACCAGGAUGAAUAUUCAUCGGAACAAUAUUUAUUGACAUUUGUUCAUUCACGGAUGUGCGCACUUAGGAGCUCUGUGUGUCCAGAAUAAAUGUGAGCAGAGCCACAGGUGCACCAACCCCCUGAAGCACCUGAGAGCAUUUCUGGAUAUCCUGCCUGAGGGACUACCACCCUAUUGCACUCACGUCUGUCAUCAUGGGACGCCUGAGGCAGCUGGUCAACACCCACAUAGGCUCACUUCCACUGGGGACUACAUCCAAGCACCACCGCCUGAAGAUUGGCACUUCCUCCGCUCAUUCCCAGCACUGUGGACACCUAAGACUGUGUGCUAACUCAUGCCAUUAUACCCCGAUCACACAUACUGUAACUGUGAGGCACAGCACAGCCACUAUCAUCCUUUUGAGGAUGACACCACAGGCAUUAGUAUAUAGUCGCUUACCGAGUUCUCAUGAGAGACGAAAGAAAUUGGAUUUUUUUCUGCCUUUAGAAAUAGCCUGAUUUCUGAAACAUCAUCAACUAAACAGUAUGUUAUUUACCAAAUGCAGAGCUGUGUGAAAAGUAAGAAUAAACAGUUAUCUGAUAUUAUAUGAAAUAAGGAAGACACUUGCUAUUUGUAUGUAGAGAGUAAGUAUGUAGAGUGCAUAUAAAUCCAUUAUUUAAUUCCUUGAUAUAUUUCCAAUACUUCCAAUAUUUUUUUUUAUUGUUUACAUUGUUUGUUUUUUGUGCACAAACAUUGGUCUUCAGGAGCCAUGGCAGCAUGUUGUGGUGCUUGGCUGCGAACCAUGUCCUGGGCUAGUCCUGUUUAAGUCCUUGCUCUCCAAUAAAUAAUUUAGAGUCCCUACAUUUAAAUGCAACAAGCUGAAAAGAAAUAAUUUAUAUCUGUCAGUCUUUUUGCUAAACCAAAAUCCAGAGAAUCUAAUGUUAUAUGGUUGACAUAUUUUUUUUAUGCUCAUGUAAAACGUCAUAUGCAGUGGUGGUUCUAGACCAAUUUUACUGUGGGGGCCAAGAAGGGGCCAGUGUUUAAUCAGAGGGG